rnacentral:rRNA from 1 species
AUGACCCCGCCGCCGGGCAGGAGGAGUGCUUCCGCUCCUCCAGGAACCAGCCACGCGCAUCAAGGUGAGGAGCCUCCUGGGCUCCGUCCGUCGCCUACCUGCAAGGUCGCCCCUCGUAUUCCAGCAAAUCAAAUAGGGUGCCGUGUGGGCAAGGGUUUCGCCGGUCUGUGGUCGGCUGCGAUGAAUUGGGUGUCCUGCUGUCUUUUCUUCAGUGCUUCUUUGGCACCGGCACAACUCUGGUCGAGUACCUACUCUUCAGGUAUGCUCGGAUCACUUCUACAUAUCUGGAUAGGAAAGUUUGAUUCUUCCUUACUAGAGCCAUACGACCAAAAGAUGAUUGGAAGGCUCUUUCCAAGCAUAAGGUGA